UCAAAUAUUUACUAUUCUUUUACUACGACGCAUCUGAAACACUCAAAAGUCUGUUUAGUACACUUCUAGUUAGUACUUGAUAAGCCCGUUGAUUGGUAUUACAUACGAUCCAGAGUAUUUGUUAAAUACAUCAUUUAAACGACUGAUUUUCAUCUGAUUCCUCCGAGUGAGUCCUUGAGGAGCGGCUUAUCAGCCAACAAUCUACAGACAGCAAACUAUAAAUCCACUAACGCCUGACAGUUCGGCGUUCAUAGUUAACGGGCAAGCUGAAUCAUGAAGUUCGUAUUUGUUGCACUGCUGCUUGUAGCGUUGGUGUGUGCUUUGGUGUCUGCUCAAGGUGAUGGUUUUGAACCGGUAAGCAAUGAGAUUAGAGUUCAAAUCCUAAAGCGAAGCAUCCCACUGGGUCAGCUGAUAACGGAGCACCAUGCAGCGUUUGUGUCACAGGUAGCAAGCGAAGAUUCGGAUUCCUCAGAAUCUGAAGAAAAAUGAUCGUGCAUGAUCGAAGAAUCCGAUUUGGAAAUGAAUAAAAUUUAAAGAAUAUAAAUGGUCAAAAAUA